CAGGGUGAUAUCGAGACUAGCAUUAAUGCGUUUGGAAACCGCUGGAAGACUGUGCCCACGUGCAAGAACGUUGUGACAAAUCCCGUGAACCCAUGCGAAGAAAAUGUUAACCGGAAAAAUCAGUCAACACAGUAUUGUGCAUACCUCAAAAGUGAUAUUUUCAAGCCCUGUCAUGACAUUGUGGACCCUGCAUCAUUCUACUCGGACUGUAUGUAUGACGUGUGCGCAUGUACUGAGAACCUCAGAGAUUGUCUGUGUCCAAUGUUGGGCGAGUACGCCGCACAGUGUGCCGCCAAAGGCGUGGAUAUCCCCUGGAGACUGCACGUACCAGAAUGCCAUAUACCAUGUACCGGUGGUCAAGAGUACCAAGUGUGCCCUAACGAGUGCACGCGUACUUGUGCAAACAUUGCUAACGAUCCAAACUGUGUUCAGUCGUCCGUCUGUGCGGAAGGAUGCGGG